GCCUAACAAAUCUAUAGAAUCUGAUUAACAGUCUAUGAGCUCAAUCUCUAUAUAAAAAAGAUACAGAUAGGACUCUUAAGUAAGCAAGCUCAACUGGGAGGAGAGCAAAGAGGAGAAUACUUCACUCUCAUAUCCUCUCUCUCUUUUCUCCAUAGUUUUCAAGCUCUGACUAACUUAGGCAUCGAAAAAUCUCCCAUUGGAAUACCCUUCAAUGAGGACAAACUUUCCUUGCAGGUUUCAAUAUUUUGAAUCUCAGAUGACAUCUAACUCCAACCACAUUAAUACUCUUUCGGAGUCUUGCAUUA
rnacentral:lncRNA from 1 species